rnacentral:lncRNA from 1 species
CAGAAUCCACAAGUCGACGUCUCAUCUUUUCUUCUCCGACUCUCUCAACUUCUCCUGCUUAGGAAGGUCCGUUUCUGACUUCUUCUUCUAAUUUCUGUUGUCGUUCAAGGUUUAGUUCAUUCAUCAGAUCUGUGUUUGUGUUUGUGGGUUCAUCAGAAACUGAUUUUUAGAGAAGGGUUAUGUGUUUGUGUGCUUAUCAAAAACCAAUUCUUAUACAAGGGUUCUGUGUUUGUGGGUUUCAUCAGUCUGUGGUUUUUAUUCAAGGUUUUGAAUUAUUUGUUCUCUUAUCCCUGAAGCAUGAUUGGAUUUUGAUGGUUAUGUUUCUUAUUGAAUAUGAUUGACUUCAUCUCGAUAAGUUCGUAUGAUUUCUGAUUUACUAUCUAUUGUAAUGUUUCUGUGAGUUUACUUUAAUUAUAUAAGCUGUGAGUUUUGGUUAUAUCUAGGGUUCACCGUUUUCUUCUAUUUCUGCUUAUGUAAACUGCCAAUUGAGUUCUGGUAGGGUUCUAUGAGACGCACUUGCAUAAAGAAUCUCUAGGUCGAGCGUGAGCUCCGUUUCUGAUGUUUCGUCUGAGUUUCAUCUCCUCUGACCGUUAUGGGAAGCAUUUAUUUAUUGCAGACUGCAGUUAACGACAUUCUUAACUCCUUCAACCCACUCCAACCAUGAUUUCUCAUUCAAUGCAUCUUCCCUCUCUACGGCUGUUGGAUCUCCAGCUAUAAAAAGGUAAGCCUUCAUCCAGUGAACAUCAUCCUUAAAAACCCUUGCAACUUCUUUUAUGGGUUUAGAUAUACUCUUUGAUACUAAGUUAAUUCUGGUGUUACAAAUUAUUGAUUAUUUGUUUUAAAAAGCAAAAUUCAGUGUAAAACUCAGAAUUAUAUAUAAAAAAAUUGGUAAAAAAAUCCUUAAUUUACCUACUUGAGAUUAUUCCUAUCAUCUUUUUAAUGUUUUUUUAUAUUUUUUCGUUCUGCAGUCGACCCUGAUGCUAUCCACCGUGAACGUCCACCAUGACCCUGGCUCAUCUCCUCCACCAAGCGGAUACCAC